AACGAACGCUGGCGGCAGGCUUAACACAUGCAAGUCGAGCGCCCCGCAAGGGGAGCGGCAGACGGGUGAGUAACGCGUGGGAAUCUACCCUUUUCUACGGAAUAACGCAGGGAAACUUGUGCUAAUACCGUAUAAGCCCUUCGGGGGAAAGAUUUAUCGGGAAAGGAUGAGCCCGCGUUGGAUUAGCUAGUUGGUGGGGAAAAGGCCUCCCAAGGCGACGAUCCCUAGCUGGGCUGAGAGGAUGGUCAGCCACAUUGGGACUGAGACACGGCCCAAACUCCUUCGGGAGGCAGCAGUGGGGAAUAUUGGACAAUGGGCGCAAGCCUGAUCCAGCCAUGCCGCGUGAGUGAUGAAGGCCCUAGGGUUGUAAAGCUCUUUCACCGGUGAAGAUAAUGACAGUAACCGGAGAAGAAGCCCCGGCUAACUUCGUGCCAGCAGCCGCCGUAAUAC
rnacentral:rRNA from 1 species